rnacentral:tRNA from 1 species
UCCCUGGUGGUCCUAGUGGCUGGGAUUCGGCGCUCUCACCGCCGCGGCCGGGUUCGAUUCCCCGGUCAGGGAA